GUGAUUGGAAAGGGAGCGCAAGGGGACCAGUGGGGAGGUCAGCGCGUCAAGCUUUCCUGUGAACAUGUAGGAAACAAGCAAAAAACCUUUCCCUGGAGUUGGGCUUCUGGUGUGGGUGUUUCUCAGGGAGUCGGGGAGAAUGCAGACAGACUGCUGCGUGCAGGCUGAGGAGGUGCAGAAUGCACCUCAACAUCGGAGUCAAGGGCGCCACAGACCAAGCUCCAAGGAACCAGGAGUCUGGGAGAGCAUCCAGCUUCUGCAGGCCACAGGACUUGCAGGGCUCUGAGCCAAGUUUACCCAGACCCCCAGAGGCCUCUGUUACCAACCCUACGUACAUAAGGUGAAUAACUUUAUGAUCUUAAAUAAGGUGAAAUGGGCUUGCUGGUGGAGUGCCUGCCUAGUUAUGCAUGGGCUCAGCUUCCACCCUCUGCACCAUACACAUGGAUGCACACUCAAUCGUAAAGUUCAGUAAAUUAAAAUGUGCAAACUGCAUGUUUUAAUUAUUCCCACAUUUUAAUUCUCGCUUUUAAUCAUUCCCAUAUUUCAAAGCUCUAAAGUGAAGACACAUGAACAAACCACAGAUCCCAGGGCCUAUGUGCACACAUGUGCUGGCAUGACUUUGGUGUCAGUCUACAUGAAAGAUGACUUAUGCCCAAGCCACUAUUCAGAUGCGGCCUGUGCACUUAAGUAUGUUUUUAGAGAAAAUGCACCAAUGUAGAUUCCUCUUAUAGGUGACUUUAUACUGUAUAGAGUGUUUGGUGUGUACCCUGCCAUUUGUACUUGCUUCUGGAAACAGGUUCAUGUAGACUGACUGUCCUUCUGCUCAACUCUUGGCUGGCCUUGGUCCAAGUCUUCACAUGAGUUACGGAGGGAUGGUUGCAUUUAGAGAGGUUGAAAACCUAGGCUUUGUGGAUGUCCAGGGAGGUCUGGACCUUCAGUAGUAUAAAGAUACCAUGUUCCUGGAUGCAUGUGUGUUUUAGGAGAGGACCUUGUUUACUCUGUGGUUUUCAUAGAUAAGGCACACUGUUGGGGGAAGUGGCCAAUAGAGCCACAUAGCCAGUCAUUACGAGGACUUAGACAAAGGUGGGACCUGAAACCACAGCAAAUGAUGGCUGUUGUUCAAGUUUGGAUCUUAAGUGCUUCCCCAAUGGUCCAUGUGUUAAAGACUUGUCCCAAGCUGGGGCACUAAUGGGAGAUGGUGGGGCCCAGAGAGAGGUCUUCAGAUCAUUGGAGCCCAUUCCUCACAGGGGGUUCUGGACCUCCUCUUCCCUGUCUUGCUUGCCAGCCACAUGAGCUUGCCCCAUCCUGCACUCCACCAUGAUGCAUUGUCUCCCUGGAGCAGCCAGCCAGGCCACCGUGGACGGAAACCUCUCCAACCGCAAGCUUAGUAUCGGCUUUUUCUCUCUGUAAAUUGAAUAUCUUAGGUAUUUGAUAGAAUAAUGAAAGCUGACUGACAUGGAUAUAAUAAAUGGAAGAAAAAAGGGCUAUGCUAUCGUGAAGAAAGAAAAACGCUGACAUGUAAUGAAAAGGUAUGUGUGCCUGUGAUAUCACGCAGGACUCAGUUGGGCUGGGUUCUCCUACGGAACAAGAGUAAGCAACCAGCUCGUUAAAGUCUGUAGGCAUGUCAGAGGGAGCUGGCUGGAAGUGGGGAGAAUGGACCCUGUGAAUGCAAGACAAUAGAUCUACAAUUGAGUCUGUCUCCUGGUUACAGAGGAGGUGUUCUGGCCAUAACAUUGGGGUGAGCUCCCCACUGCUGGAUUGAGCUGUUUCUGGUUGCUCAAAUAAACCUAUUCAUCACCUGGUUUUGUGCUUUCUCAUGUUUAAUUUCUGUGUCCACUUUACUUGCCUGGAGCACAAGAGAGGUCACAUCUCUUUGUGUUUAAAUCAGCCAUGUUGAGCCUUCUUCCUGUCUGUUCUCAAAACGUUAUUUUUGAGACUACUACUCUUUCACCCCUGGGUGCCCUGUCCCCUUCCUGAGACAAGGUCAAGAUCCACAGAGACUUACUCCAAGUGAUAAGUCCUAUUUCUAAGAUCUUGUGGGAACAAACCAGAAAUUUGACCAGUAGACCAGCUGUCUGACUCCCAGUGUUCACUGUGGGCCACCAGUAGGGUCUGAAAGAACUAGGUUCUCUGCGUUGCUUACCAAGAAGCUCACUCGACCCUGUGAACAUUAGGGAAAGGGAAAAAUGGGAAUGUAUAAAACAGACUGGCAGAGUCCCAUUUAUCACAGUGAAUGUGGAUGAGUUAGAAUUCUGCUGUCUAUGGACAUUUUCAGGUGGAAUUAUAAACACCAUAAUUAUGUGUUGAACAUAAGAGACUUCUAAAAAGGGGUGACACCAGAGGCUAAGAAUAAAGGGGCUAGAAAGCACUGGGAGCAUGCUAACAGGAAGAGAGUGCAGGAGAACCGCACUCUCUUCAGUAGCUCAAGCAGUAGCUUGAUUAGAAGAUGAAACAGAGGGGUGUGCAUCCCCAUCUCUGACAACAUCCUUGAAAGUUCGGGUUCUUAGACUGCAGUGAAAAAGGAAGCAACACCCCAGUGGAUCUGUUAGACUUGUUAAUUGUUCUGACUUUGCAUUUUCUGCUUCAUCUAGCAUGUACUUAAGGGAACUGUCCCCUGUGCUUCUGGUUUGGUUGAUUUCUGAGUCUCUAUGGUUCGCUGUUCACCUAUCAGGGUUUUCUUUCCAAUUGGCCCUCUUAGGUGUGAGAAAACCCUGUCUUGGCCUGUUCACUGGUGUCUGUCUCAGUUCUACAUCGAUGGAACCAGUGUCACAUCUUCGUUGUGUCUGCCUAAGAUGUUUAUCUAUUGAAACUAUCUUUUUGUGAUUUUGGUUUUAGGGAAAGGUAUAUAUGCGUAUCAGAGAAAUACCAACCACAAUUAAGCAUCUAGCUCACCUCUCAUUCCUGACCCCCAGUCUCCUGCCCACAGCAGCCAUUGCUGGUGUGCGUCUCCUGGGGUAUUCCUGCCUGUGCUCCCUAGGGAAGGUGCACUCCUGAUUUUCCCAGGAAAUGAUGGCAUUCUGUGCCCAUGCUGUCAUCAGUUUUAUUCAACUGUACCCAAAAUGACUCACGCUCCUAACUACAUGCAACGCGACAAGUUUCUCAACCUGUGACCUGCGAGGGAAGUUUAGCCCGUGUGUUUCUAAGCAGGAUGCCUGCUGAAGGCUGCACUCCCUGCAUAAUGCUAGCUAACAGAACCAACCUCAGCAGAAGCAAGAAGCCGCCUUCCUCUCAUCCCCAUGACUGUCUCACCACUGAGCUCUGUGGCCUUUGUGGAAGCCAGUCCUACAGCCCAAUGGAGUAAAACAGGAUCCUGACCCAGCCUGGACUUCCUGAAGAUGUCCAAAGGACUCCAGGUCACCAACUCACAGUGACUUUCAAAGCACUGCCUCCACCCCCACCCCCGCCCGACUUUGCCUCCUUAGUUCCCAUCUGGUGGCUGCCAGGGCUCCAUCCUUCAGAGUUCCACCCUUCUCUUUGAGGUGGAGAAUACUUCCUCUCUGGCCAGGCCUGUCUCUGCCCUCUCCCUAUCUGGCUGCUCCUCUCUCUGUCCCUCUGUACUGUUUCUAUCUACCCAUGUAUGUGUAUCUCCACCUCAUCGCCAGCUGUCUGUCUUUCCAUCUGUCCCUCUAUCCUUGCAUAAGGCCUAGGGAUGGAUGGCAGACCCUUCCCCCUUCGAGAGAAGCAGUGGAGGGUCUGAGGGAGGAGGAAAUGGGGGUCACUAACACUCAUUAAUCCUCUCUGUCAUAAAUGCAUUAGAGACACAAGUGCCAGGAAGAGGCAGGUCCUCUAGGAGGUUGUGGGGAGGCUGGAGGCUGCUCAGCCAGAGGUAGCUGAGCCAAAGCAGGAGGCAGAGCCCAGAACCUCAGAGGCGCUGCACUGAGCUGAUCCUUCUGGCUUUCUCCUGUCCCCUGAUGCUUUGCCCCAGCUGGCCACGUUGUUCACCUUCUCUAGGUUGAGUGACAAGAAGGCGUGUCUGUCACCUUUCCAUCGGAGCAUAUCUGCAAACAUGAAGUGACACCCUGAGAGACCUUUGGGCUGCCAGAGUCUGAGGAAGAGCAGAAGUCCACCUGCAUGGUGGUACGGAGGUUCCGGAGGGCUCCAGGGCUGUAUCCCGUGGACAGGAGCCUGGGGGGCCUAGCUGUCCCUGUAGCUCGAUGGCGUCAUAGGGCCUCAUCUCUCUCCUCUUUUUCUGACACUCAGAGAAAAUGCAUAGAAUUGUUUGCAAGGCCCCCAAGUCCUUGAGCCCUCUGAUGAUUGCCUCUGAAUAUUGACAUGAGUUUAAUAUACUGUACAAUUUUGAUACAAGACUGAUUAAUCAAUGACUUCAAUAAUCCCUGUGAGUAGGGAACAAUAAAGUAGAUGUAUUGCCUUAGAA